GUCUCAAAGAUUAAGCCAUGCAUGUCUAAGUAUAAGCAAUUUGUACGGUGAAACUGCGAAUGGCUCAUUAAAUCAGUUAUCGUUUAUUUGAUAGUACCUUACUACAUGGAUACCUGUGGUAAUUCUAGAGCUAAUACAUGCUAAAAACCUCGACUUCGGAAGGGGUGUAUUUAUUAGAUAAAAAACCAAUGCCCUCCGGGGCUUUCUGGUGAUUCAUAAUAACUUGUCGAAUCGCAUGGCCUUGCGCCGGCGAUGGUUCAUUCAAAUUUCUGCCCUAUCAACUUUCGAUGGUAGGAUAGUGGCCUACCAUGGUGGCAACGGGUAACGGGGAAUUAGGGUUCGAUUCCGGAGAGGGAGCCUGAGAAACGGCUACCACAUCCAAGGAAGGCAGCAGGCGCGCAAAUUACCCAAUCCCGAUCCAAGGGAGGUAGUGACAAUAA
rnacentral:ncRNA from 1 species